CUUGGUUUCAGCACAAAGUAAUGGAAAAGGGCAACAACUCCAGACUCACUGAGAUGACGUACUUGACAGGAAAUCAUUAGGUAGGUAAAAAAAAGUGUGAAACAAGCCUGUGAUAAAAGCUAUUUUCAGAUUUCAGUAUGACAUUAGUAGAAUAAAAUAUAUAUUCUAUUAUAUAAUAUUCACUUUUUGUUACAUAAUAUACACAUAGGAAUUCUUUCUGUCACUCUGAAGCAAUUGGGUUAUUAUAUGAUAGUUUUCUGUUUCUUCUAUAUGAAGAAAUAGGAAAAUAUGAUAGUUUUCCAUUUAAUAAUAAAGGCUAUAAUAAAGUAGCCAGAAAGUGUAGCGACAUCUAGGGAAAGCUUGGCAGAAGUGCCUCCAUGCUAAAGCAUCUGUAACUCCAUUUUUUGCUUUAUGGGUUGGCAUUUGACAGCUAUACUCCGUGCAAAAAGAAUAAUGUCUUGAGCAACAUAACCUCUUUAGAAGCAAGCAUAAUGAAUAUGAGAACAUGAUCUUUAUUUUAAGGUUUUAGAAUGAUCCCCGUAGGAGUUUGGAGGGCUGAUAGUAUUGAAAAUCUGCUUUUGACUAAAUUUGCAAGUUAGAUCUGUGUGAAUUUUAAGCAGGAGAUGGGUUCUUGCUUAAAUCCAAUCUGCUCUUCAAAAGCCAGUCAACAUCUCUAACUGAAAACGUAACCAUUUUUUUUUCCUGUGAAGGUAAUGUCCCCAGGGAAAGUUUGUUUGGUGUGACUUGAUUGGAAGGAAUGACAAGAGUAAAAAGGAAUAUGGCAUGUGAAUAGGGUGCUAUACCAGGCCCUUUGUUGGGAGGGGAACAGAGGUUCCUAUUCCUCCAGGCAGAUGUCUGACUAAUAACAGUGAUUAAAAAAGAGACAAAAGUUCAUGAUCUGGACAUUACAAAGCCAGGAAAGAAUUUCCUAGUUCUUAUCAGGAGGAGCCUGGAUGAAAUCUUCACUUUAAAGCCAUAUCAGGUUUUUAUCAAGAAGAUACAGCUCAGAGUUUAAGUGUAAACUUGCAGUAAUCCACUGCAGAAGAGCUGUGUGGGUGUAUAAAAUUGAUUUGAAAAGGAAUGAAGAGGUGUGAAUUGCUACUUUUUAAAGAUAAAAACUUAGUGCACAGGUAGGUCAUGUGUACUAAGCACAUGAAAACAAGUCUUCAUCAUUCUCUCUUUAUUAUGCAUAUUUUUGUAAAUGUUUUCUUUGGUCACUUCUAGCCUUUCUAUUAUUAAAUCUUUGCAUAUUAGAUUUUUAUUGAUAUAAAAACGUUAAGAGAUGUAAUAAUACAGAUAUAUGAAGCGAUUUAAUAUUAAAAAGAUUUUCAAUGAGCAUUUGAAAGCAAGACUUGAUGUGUUAUGUUGCUACAAAAUUCAAUAUAUGCAGUUGAACUCUGAGCACUUGCGUUUAUAAUAUAUGAAGGGGUUCUCUUAAAACCAUGUCUUCAUUAUGUCAUUUGAAUUCCAACUCUGGUAUGUAAUUUUAGCUUAGUACUUUCUAUCUGAUUUUCAGCAGUGUAGGUUUUUGCAGCUAGGUGGGUUAUGCUUUGAGCGAAUUCUUUUUAAUCAAAAGGAAGAAAGCUUUUGCUUUACCUCUUUAUAAACUCACCAGAGCCACUCCUUCAUACCAGAGUUCAUGUUUUAUUGACCAGACAGUGUUUUGUCUUGCAAUUAACUUCUGCAAGGAUACAGUGCUGUAGAAGCUAUUAAAGAACAAUACUGUUGUUACUGUAAUAUUUACCAGCAUAAUUAUUUAAAGUAUAUGUUUCAUUACUUACGUUUUCAUGUCUGUGUGGUACAUGUAUCAGCCUGUUCCAUUACUCUGCACCUGUACUGUCUCUGCCUUCUGCCCACUCCUCUUCUAGCCCUGUACCUUUCUCCAGAGCUAUGUUGGUGCCACAUUCCCAUGACCCCACUGCUGCUUCCAUUAGUCACCACCAUAGGAACCAUGUUCCCAGGGACAGAUCCUGGUCCCUAUGCAAAAACAGACCAGCAAGAUAAGAAGGAAAAGCCCCUGCAUCACCAACCAGCUUGAAAUUCUUCCAAGCCUUGUCCAAAAGGGUCAAUAAUUCUUGUAGUAAGACACUUUUUCUGGUAUUAAUGUCAUGAACAUUUUAAAAUGGCAUCAGCCAUUAAUUACUAUCACAACUUUUAACUCUCUGUUUCUGUUUCAAAUUUUCCCCAGUUCAAUCAGAACCAAAAGUUAAUGCCCAUUGGCUAAUUUCCAGUGCAUGCCUCCACAGAACAACUGUUGCCUUUAACUGGUGGAGAGAUCAAGGCUUGAACUGACAAAAGACAUCUGUAUCUUAGAAAACAAAUUAAUGUUUAUGUUUUAAUUUAUAAGUUCCUGGCUCUUUUACGGUUCCUGUUUUUCAAGUAACGUCUCUUUGGAUUCCUAGCUGAUGGAGAGUCAAAAUGGAAAAGGCCCAUGAGAGAAUUAUCACAAUACAACAUCUGGUCUGCAUUGGAAAGAGCAGAGAAAGAUAUUCAACAUCUUGGAGACCAAGAGGCAGCUGUGAGGCACUUUCAAAGUCUGUGAAAAAUCGUGCAGGUUGUGGCCACCUGGGCCAAUAUAGUAUUGUUUUGGGAUGAGCUACUCUGCUUUCUAGAAUCUGGAUUUUAAUCUCACUUCAGUACAGAUACAUGAGAGCUGGGAGUGGUAUGAAAGGUGUUUGCUUUUCAUAAUGUUAAUCUGAAUCCCAGCAUUGUCCUAAUUAUAUUGUGGGGUUUUGCCAGUCUCCCAAUUUUCUUUUCAGCGUGUUAGCUAGGAGUCAAAAGGCUUUCUCAGGGCUUUUGGCAUAGCUUUAUAGGAAAAAAGGAUGGAAAGGACUUUGUGUAUUUUUGGAAGAAUAUUUUGCAUCCUGCUUUAAACUGUUCCAGAAGGUUAAAGGACAUUAGCUACACUGCAUAUUGGCUAGGGUACUGGUAUGUCAUUAACGGCAAGUUUUGCUUUGUCUAAUUGUUCAGGUUUCUUCAGUCACAGACUAUGAGAAAUGCAAAGAAAUCAUGGAGCAGCCCAGGCAGUAAGGUUACCACUGGAUUCAGAGGGAACAAAGUCCUUCCACCACAUGAAACUUUGGUCCUUUAAGUCAUCAUAGCUCAUGCAGAACAUAAACAAUUUGACAUGUAUAACAAGAAACACUGCAAAUUGUUUUCCAAACAGGCAUAUACUGCAGAUGGAAGAACUGAUGAAAAUUGUUUAUAAAUGAGGAACUAAAUGUAGAUUUUUCGAGAACAAGGUUGCUCUCUUCCUUGCCAAGACAAACAAAUCUGAUAGAACAUCUCAUUGCUUUAGGCUGCCUGAGGACCCACUGGAAAGUCUAUGGACCUUUCUCCACAGUAAAUUUGUGUGUUGUCAGUACAUAAGCGUAUUGUCCACAGUUGCACUGUGGCAGCUGCAGAGGAAGUGGAAGGUUCUCAAGGAAUACAUGAGGGAGAACUAGAUUUUUGGCUCCUAACACAGUAUGGAGUGCUUUUGGAAGCUGUGGAAGUUUAUGAGCUGAAUGUUACUGCUACAAAAGGUUAUCUGUGAGUUAAGCAUAAUGGUAAUUAAUCUGCUAUCUGUAGAUCUUGACACUGACAACAUGAUGAAAUUGAGAAUUCCUGUUCUUUAGAAUUGCAGUUUUCCAAAAUGCCUUCAUUCCUAUAAUGACAGGAUUGUUAGAGGUUUUCAGUGCACAGAUGUUUUUACAAGGCAGUAUAUAGUCAUCCCAAACAACUGUUUUUAAUGGGACAGUUAUUUAAAAAAGCAUGUAACGAGAGCAUAAAUACAGUCCCUGAUACUAACAUAAAACAUGUAUUAGCAAAAUAAUAUAGUUUUAUUUCCCUCAUACGUAGCAGGCCCUGGAAAUAUAAAACUAAUCAUGUCCUUAAAAUACUGUUAUAGCUGUAAACAUCUGGAAAAGAGGACCAGCAGCAUCCUCAGCUGCAUUAGGAAAAACAUUGCCAGCAGGUCAAAGGAGGUGAAUGUUCUCCUUUACUCAGCACUUGUGAGACUUCAGCAGGAGUAAUGUGUCCACUUUUGGGCUCCCCCCAGCAAGGAGGACAUGGACAUACUGGAGUGACUGCAGGUAAGGGCCAUGGAGGUGAUUAAGAGACAAGAGCAUCUGUGAUAUGGUUGCCCAAAGAGGCUGUGGAGCUGGCAUCCUUAAAGAUACUCAAAACUCAAUUGGGCAAGCUCCUAAGCAGCCUUAUUUGGGUGAUUCUGCUUUGAGCUGGGGGUUGAACUGGAUGGUCUCCAGACGUGCUUCCAUCCUCAGUGGUACUGUGAAUAUUUGAAGCAGUUUGCUUAUGUCUGGUCAGCAUUUUAGCUGGAACUUGACUGCGUAGGAAUCCUAAAGAAAGCAAAGUCUGUAACCCUAGAAAUACAUCCAGAUGGCUGAGGCCCAGAAAAGGCAUAAUGAGAGCUGCUAAGUAUUUUGAAUGUCUCAUCAGAGUGAUAUUUCACUUAAAAAUACAAAUAUAGAAAUGACUUGGGUCUUCUUAUCAAUGACAUUGAAUACCCAGUGAUCUCUAGUAUGAUCUCUUGUUUCAGCUGGACUGUAAAGGGUAACAGCUUCUCUCUAUUUUAGUUUAAUCUUGCUCUGGAAAAUCUUACCAUAUACCUUAUUUUAUAAAUGAAUACUUGAUGCUUUAUGGUGCAGAAUUAAUUUGUUAGUUUGUUACAUGCUUUCUUUCCUUAUUAGUACUGAUAUUAAAAUAUUGCAAUGUGUUUUGACGUAUUACUUCAGUAAUAGGCACAUACUAUGUGUCAAGGACUUGAGAAUGUCAUCAUUUGAUCAAGGUAAAAUCAAAAUAUAUAAUUACAUUGCAUAUUCUAUGGCACUUAGUGUCUAACUAUUCUUACAGCACCUUCAGACAACAAAGAUUAAAUUCAGAAAUGGCUUUCAUAUUUUCAUGACACAAGUUUUAUAUAGCAAGGCAAAACAAUGUAUUUUUUUAGGUCAGCUGAAUAGUGAUGGGUAGAUUUACCUUUGGUUUUCAUCAUGAAAAUGCCAAGGAACUAACUUGCAGUGUUGAGAAUUCCCAGGUCCUCCUUUUGAAAACUCUUUGUCUUUUGUGUUGCCUCUAGGAAAAAGGGAAAACAUUCUGGAAAACAAGAAAUGAAGGAAUGUUGUACAGUGAAUUAAGAAAUAAAUAGAUUAUAGAGCACUUAAUUCUAGUUUUCUGCACUCCAGAAAAUGAAACACUAAGAAAUAACCUGUUUCUUUAUUAUCAAUAUAUGGAGUCACACUGGGUUUGGCAGACAAGGACAGAAGCUUAUGAAUAACACCUGUGAUAAUUAUUAGAAGACCAUAAAUUUUGCGGUGGCUGAACUCAUCCUAAAAUCACAAAAUUAAGUCUUCAGACAUAAGUAACAUACGAAGGUCAAAUACACUUAGUCAUAAGUUGCUAUCAUCUGCCAUCACUUUUCCAUGACUUAGUGCUCUUACAGCAAAUCUCCUCUGAUUGCAGUAGACUCUGCGUGGGAUGGGGGUUUUGGUGGGGAGAGUGUUACUUUAAAUUGACACCUCUAGCAGCAGUUCCUAUUUCUAAUGUUUUCCUUUUAUACAUUUAUAGCCUAUUAUAUCUAUCCAAGCCUGGCAUAGCUCCAAGUCACCCAUUUCUCAGUAAUACAGGAAAUUAAAUCUAAAGUCUAAUAAGCACGGAGGCUUAUGCAACCUUCAUUCGCUGAAAAAAGUAUUAUGUAACUUAAUAAUAUUACCUUGUCUUUUGAUGGCUAGAGAGUUGUGCACUUUGUUUCUCUGUAGACCAAAUAGGUUCUGCAUUUGGACUACAGGAGGCUGGGUUGAUCCAGCAUUUUCUGCAAGCUUUCUGAAUGUCACCUCAAUAUUACUCUCUUGUUGAAGGACUCCCUGAAACUUCCAUGUCUACGGUUUGGCGCCCUUCUUCCACUACUCCCUGUGGUAGGAACCCAAUCUGUUCCCUGGUGCAAGGCCUGUGUACCCUGUAUUCUUACCCCAGGGGUGCUGAGUGCUCUCAUUCUUCCCCCCGGGAUUUUCUCCAGCCUGACCAGAUUUCUGCCUAUUCUAUCCCAUUUUCUAUUAAUACCCCCUGCGGUUCUGUGUUGGUGGGUGCAGCAUUUGAAAGUGCAGAAAUCUGGCUUGAGACCACACAGAUUAGCACCAUAAUUUCAGGGUCUUGUCUCCUGCAUGUAUCGGUUUAUUAAGUGGAUUUAUACUGAAUAAUUUUAAACUGUUGCAGCCUUCUGAAACUGUUUCUGUAACACACAGAGUGAUAUAAGGUCGCCGGUGGUGUGGAAAUUGGUUUUGCAGCUGAUAUGUUAAUUCAGCAAGAGAUGAGUUCUUGCAGAACACGAAGAAAAUGAUUUUAAUAUAGUGCCAUGCUACUUCAUUGGCUUUCAGGAAAGAGCUAAUUAAAACAUUCAAGGGAGAUUCAGGUCUCUGGAGAAAGUACCAUUAUGGAAAUACAAGGUUAUUUUUACUGCACAGCUUAUUAGCUGCUUUUCUAAAAGCAAAUCAACUGAAUGUGGUGGACUCAAAAUAACAUUUUCACCUGCUCAGGAAGAUGAGAGAUAAGGUACUUCUGUAAACUGAGUUCAAUAUAAGACUUGUCACAGUCUCUCCUGUGUCACUCACCCCAGGUUUACAGUAACCACUGCUGCAGUUUUCUGGAUGACAGCUUUCAUCCAAAUACAUCCAGGGCCCUUAAUAUGGCUCUACUAGUGCAACUAAUUGCAAUGAGGAGCAGAAUUACAUUCAUGAUGCCUAAGGAGAAGGAGAAUCUCUGCACUCAGUAUGAAUAAGGGGUAGCAAAGGCCUAAUUUUUCAGAAAUAAUUAAAUUGAAAAUAAUUUUAAUAGCCAAUCCCAAAGAAAAAUCACCAGGAAUUUAGAAGCCCUGUAUUUUUUCCAAACAGUGCGCUUAUACCAGGGAAUUACUGAGCACCAAAAGUAAAAUAACUGUAAUAUUUACUGUAUGAAGAUACGAAAGGAAAACAAUUUUACCAGCAUAAACUGCUUCAUCUUUUUGAGAAGAAGAAUGAACAAAAUAAAAUUGAGUUUCUAAGAAACAAUUCUAAAAAAUCUCUAUUAUAAAAAUUGUAUUAGAUUUUACAAGGUAUUUUAAUAUUGAGAUAAUAACGGAGAAAAUGGCAUUUUACUCUAUGUUCUUUCAUAAAACAGGUACGAUAGUGCUAUUCCCAGGGAAAAGACACCAGUUCCAACAAGAGUAGUGUCUGUUCUAGAAUUAAGGAUAACGUCUCAAAAUAUCUACAUAAACAAGAAGGUUAAAAAGCUUAAUGUGAAAAUAACAAUCUCUUCUUGAACAGCAUCUACUGUGUCCAGCCUAUUCUGUUUCAGAUGGCCCAGGAGCACAAACAGGUAUGACAUCAUAUCAUUUUACAUCAUUAAUGGAAGUGUUUCCUUUCAAAACUACAAUGUUAUUUUCUGCCCAAGCUUUCUUUCAUUAAUUCCAAAGUUAUUUUGACCCAACCAUCUCUAUGUAUGUUUAGCUAUGUUACCUAAACACGGUUUUCCAGUACUUUCUAGUAUGGACUUUAUACUGAACAAUUUGUUUAAUUGCAUUACAUGACAUUUUAAUAAACUAACUUUCUAAAAAU